rnacentral:lncRNA from 1 species
AAUAGAAAUUAUAAAAUUUGGGUGAAGGUAAAAUGGAAAGUUUAAGAAAUGGAAACUUGAUUCCCUACCCCCUGAUGUGAAGAUCAUUAAUCCUAAAAAUUUAUAGGACUCGUGUGUUUCAUUUUCAAUCUCAUUUUUAUUUUAGUAGGUAAACACCAUCAAUUAUUUUUAUUUUAAAUUCCGAUUCCUUAAUUUAGGAAGUAAAUACACCAUUAUGAGUAUUUGGAACUUGUGAAAUAGGUAACGGAAAGGCCCAUAUAAGCCAAUAGCUAAUUUAGGCACAUGUCUUAUGAAAUACAAGUGUGCAACCUAAGAGAGAGGGGUGAAUUGAGAUUCUAAAAAUUAUUUGAUUCUAAAACAAAUUAUCAUGCAAAUCUAAAGAGAAUUUAAAGCAAUAAUAAUUAAAUCAAUUACAAUAUAAAAAGAUAAGGGAAGAGAAAUUCAAACACGAAGAUUUUUACGUGGUUUGGCAAACCUCGCCUACGUCCAUGCCUCCAAGUUUUCUGGGCUUGAGAAUUUCACUAAGCAAGCCUUCAAGGUUUCAAAUGCUUACACUUGACUUCCAAGGUAUCAACGAACCUUUACAACAAGAGAUUAUCCCAAAUCUCUUAACCCAAGUGUAUCCCCACACUUACAAUCGUUCAAAAUAAAAAAUUAUAAAUUAUUUUUCUCUCACACAAUAUUUAAGAUUGCAAAUUAAUGCCCAAUGUGUGAAUAGAUGAAGCAAUGAUGUGUUUAAAGCUCUAUGAAGAUUGUAUUCUCGAAUAUAAGCUCAAUAGUUGUGUUGUGAUCAACCUUAUUUGAAUUUGAAUGAGCUUAUUUAUAGUUGGAGCUGAAACACUAGCUGUUAUAGAUUGUCUGCCCAAAAAUGGCUUGCCGUUAACCAUUAUCAGUUAACCGUUUAGACUGGUCAAAGUUAUCGUUGGGUCAAAUUUCAAAUAAACGGUUUGCCAUUUAGGCUUACCCUUUUGCCGUUAAAUUCCAGAGACCUGCAAGAUAAACUUCAGUUAUCUGUUUACAUUAAACGGUUAAAGAUUUGCACGAAAUACCCUUUCUGGAAUUUAUCGGUUAGCCGUUUGUAAUUAAUGGUUCGCCGUUUGUUUCCAGUAACCUGCAGAACAAAAUUAGCCUUAUCCGUUUCAGUUAAACUUUUGCCGUUUGUUUCCAGUAACAAGAUGAGUACAAUCUUCCAUUCUGGAUUUUAUUGGUUAACCGUUUCAAUAAACGGUUUACGGUUUAAUUCCACUAGCCUUCCCAGCAUUUUGUGUUUUCUGUUUUUCUUAACCAGUUAGAGCUUAAGCAAUUCAUUACUCUCUGAAUCUAAUCGGUUAACCGUUUAAAGAAAAAUGAUUCACCGUUUAUUUCCAUAAUCACAGUUUUAGGUAGAUAUUGCAGAGAAUCAUUUUUCAAUUUCAAGUUUAACAAUUCCAACUUUUAUGAAUAUAAUUGAAAUGAUUAUAAGGCUUUCG